CUCGUAGGCGGCCAACUAAGUCACACGUGAAAUCCCUCAGCUUAACUGGGGAACUGCGUGUGAUACUGGAUGGCUUGGAUCCGGGAGAGGGAUGCGGAAUUCCAGGUGUAGCGGUGAAAUGCGUAGAUAUCUGGAGGAACACCGGUGGCGAAGGCGGCAUCCUGGACCGGUAUUGACGCUGAGGAGCGAAAAGGCCAGGGGAAGCAAACG
rnacentral:rRNA from 1 species